GACGGAGGAUGCAAGCGUUAUCCGGAAUUAUUGGGCGUAAAGCGUCCGCAGGUGGUUAAUCAAGUCUGCUGUCAAAAUGCGAGGCUCAACUUCGUAAAGGCAGUGGAAACUGAUAAACUAGAGCAUGGUAGGGGUAGAGGGAAUUCCCGGUGUAGCGGUGAAAUGCGUAGAUAUCGGGAAGAACACCAGUGGCGAAAGCGCUCUACUGGGCCAUGACUGACACUGAGGGGCGAAAGCUAGGGGAGCGAAAGGG
rnacentral:rRNA from 1 species